rnacentral:misc_RNA from 1 species
UAGCCCAAAAAAAAAAUUAUUAAAUAUUGAAUACUAAAAAUUGGACAACUAAGUCCAUAUAAGUAGUGCCUGUGACUACACAAAGUGGGUUUGCCUAAAGUGUACAAUUCAGUCCACAAAACCUACAUAUAAAUAGCCUUCACAAAUUUACAAUUCCAUGGUGAUAAGUUCACAAAAAUGUGUAUGCGUGCACAAGUUCAUCCAAUCCCUAAAUUAUGGUAUAUGGCAGAAAUCUGUCGAUUUACUUGACCGUAGGCUUUGCUCUACAAAACUUGUAUUUCAACAUUUCCUCCAAAUGUUUGAUAAUUGAUGAGAAUACUCCUGAAACUGAGCUGUCUUUCUGUUGCAAUGAUCCUUUCACCAAAAGGGUGCCAGGGAUUUGCUGAAAUACCGAAAUGCGAAAACACAAGUUAUUUUGAGGAGUGUGCAAAUUUGAACUGUUGGAUUCCUCAUCAAUAGGACUGCAAUUGGCAGUUUCACCACAAAGUUUUCCUUCAUCCUUUAGUAUUACAUAGCAUUGUUCAUUUGAUGCAGUAAUAUCAACAUCAAAUGAUGAGGCAUUCAAUUUACAGGAUGCGCCACUGGUGUGAAAAAAGGACUCAACUGAUUGUAAUACAUCCAUAGCACUGAAUUGGCGUUGAAUUCCCUCAAGCAUGAAAGACAGUAUACUCUUCCCAGCCACAAAAGGUGAUAUUAUCUUCCUGGCAGGAGGCACAAAAGACCAAGCAAGCCCCCACCUACAUGUUUGCCCCUGGACAAAUUCAGUUGUCUUUACUAUGGUGACUCCAACAUCCCUUAGCUUUGAGAUUAGAAAUUUGAGGUUUGCUUUCCUUCCAACCAUUGAAGUGUACCACCUAAAGGACUCCUUCAAUACAACACUAUCUUCAAUUAUACGAAUGAUAAAAGCCUUUUCUCCUCCAGGACAGACCAUCUCCUCAGGAGUCCCACCACAAGAAGUCUUUGGGUUCAAUCCUGCUUCCUCCAUGGUCUCAAAAAAUGGAGGAUUGCACAUGCAGAAGUCGAACUUCUCAUCAUUCCUCACUACACCAAGAAGUAUAGGCGGUCCAUGAUAAUUCUUGUUAGCAUCCACAGGCAAAGUAAAUGAACCUGAUUCAACCACACUUCCAUUCACAUCCAUUUUGUUUUCACCAUUUACAGAUUCUGCAUUGUUCGAAUCUUCAAUAGAAUGGAUCUCUUGACAGUUUGUAACCUUUCUAACUUCAAUUAGUUCUGAAAUAUGUGGAUUAUCUUUAACAUUUCUCUCUGCCCACUCUAUUGCUACAUCAGUCACAUCUGACCCAACAAAACUCCAUCCUAGAAGAGAUGCACCAAGGAGUGGGUAAAUGCAGUUAGCUCCGGUGCCUAUAUCAAAACCUCUCACAAUAUCUCCAUUUAUGUUAUUUUUCGGAAUGAUGUCAGAGAGAAGAUCGUCAAUCCAAUGGAUGUAGUUGGAUCUGUUUGGAACUGUAGGGCAGAGUUGCCCAUCAGGAAUCCACCAAUUGAGGCCAUGAUCAUGGAGAAGCAAAACCCGAGUGAGCUCCCGGGUGGAGUUAAAGUCGGUCCAGUCAAUUCUGGGUCUACCAUCAGGAGAAUAGAAUACAUAGGGCUUAAAAGAAGGGUAGAGAGAAGCAAGGAGAGAAAAAUCAGGUGGGUUAUCUGCAUAUUUGUUCUUGGGGUGGAUGGUUGGUCGAUCGGGUCUCUUCCUCUUGCUCUUUUUCUUGCUCGGCAUUUUCUUUUUUCUGCUUUGGACAGGGAUGACAACAGGAAGGUACCCGUAAAAUUUGAAGUAUCCAAAUCUGAACCCUUGUGAUAUAUAAGUUACCCGAAAAGGUCCUGGUUGACAGUCUUUGACCCAACAAAAGCUUCAAUCUUUUUCCAGUCACGAUCAAAUCUGAUGAAAUUGGGUACAGAAUGUGAGUGAGAGAGCGAGACACGGAUAGAUAGAGUAUGAACGACGGAGCGAGAGCUAGAGAGUGAGAGAGAGAGAGAGAGUGAGAGAUAGAAAGAGGGAGAGAGCACAGUUGCUACUCUUGAACGCUAUUUGAAUCAUUGGUGUUUAAGGUUUUAACUUGAGCAUUUGUGGGAACACAAAUUCUUUAUUAAUUUGAUAGGAUUGGACUUGUUGAUGAUAUGCUGAAAAUUUCAACAUCUACUCUUGGCUAUGAGAAAUUGAAUUGGUCUACGCAGAUGAAUGUAGUUUCCCCAAGAUACUUAUACGUUGGUCUUAGUAGCCGGUAGUGCAGAUUUUGCUCAAAUUGUUAUGUCCUAUUUGCUCUAUGGUCUACUUUUUAUGUUACAAGGUAAAAUGUGAAAUUGUGAUGCAAGUUGGUGGGAAAAGUUUUUGUUGAGUAAUAAAAUCAUGUAGUCACAGGGACACUCGACUUAAAAAGUUGCUGUGAAAUUGUGACGCAAGUAGGUGGGAUGAGUUUUUUUAUUUUAUAAUAAAAUUAUGUAGUUGCAGGGACACUUGAGUUACAAAGUUGUGAAAUUGUUGUGAAGUUGUGACGCAAGUUGGUGGGAUAAGUUUUUGUUGAGUAAUACAAUCACGUAGUUGUAGGGACACUUGAGCUAAGAAUCAUAUAAAAUUUUACUAUUGGCUCCGCUCAAGGAUAUUUUCCAGUUAAAGAUUGAUCAUUGUCAUUUGAAAUUGAGAUUCUAAGUGUUGAGAGCCUCCAAAAAGAAACAGUGCAUUGAUUUACAUACGUUGUCACUGUGGAGAAUUUCUAUUGUUUUUUUAGUAAUUCAUCCAAUCUAUAUGUUUCAUUAGAGCUUGUUUAUAUGCUUACAUCACACACACAUUCAUUCUUCAAGAGAAAAUGAUUGAAUAGAAUUAUAUUUUUGUUACAUGUUUUGAUAUUUACUGGAAAAUGUGAGAGUUCUUAGGAUAGUUAGCUAGAGUGCUUUAUAUGUUCCCCUCUUAAUAUAAGAAUUUUGUGGAUGCUCAUUGAAUCUUCUUUACUUGCACAACGUGUGCAGCAGAUUCCAUAUUUGCAUUGUAUUUGGCCAUAAUCGUAAGAUGGAUAAGUUUUUCUAGUCAGUCCAUCAACCUGUACUUAUUAGAUAUUCCUCUUGCCAUGCAUCAUCUUUGCUAUGAAAUGUGUUGCUCCUCAUUGCAGUAUUUGAUAGUUAAGCUGCAUAUGGUUAGGCCUUCUUGAAUCUCUUUCCAAAGUGGAUAUUAUAUAUGAUUCUUCCAUAAAUCAAUUCUCUUACUCUUCUGCUUAAUUUGCUCUAAUUCACAGAACUACUCUUCCAUCAUUACUGUCCAUCCAGAGGUCAUCGAUGGGAGACCAGGGACAAUGGUCAUUGAGUCAUUUGUGGUUGAUGUGCCAGAAGGGAACACUAAGGAUGAAACAUUAUACUUUGUUGAGGCCCUAAUCAAAUGUAACCUGAAGUCACUGGCUAAUGUGUCAGAACAUUUGGCUGUGCAAGACCGAACUGAGCCCAUUGACAGAAUCUGAAGCAUGCGGGGCAGGCUACCAGUGCAGUGGUUUCUGUUUAUGCAACUGGAAAAUGUAAGGUUCCAUUGUCAGAGGCAGAUGGAGAGUUUCACAUCCUAGAGGCAAAGUUUCUUUUCUUUAUACUUUAUGCUUACUCCCUUUUCAUCAUUUGGGUAUCUUGUCUAUAGUAGCUGGCAAUUAAGAUCAUCUAUGGCCAUAUGCUUCCUAAAUGAACCAGCAAAUUAGAUUUUCUUACUUUGUGGUUUUUGCUAUGUUUUAAUAAUGGGUUAUAUAUUGACCUCUGAUUGUAAAUAUGAAUGCAUGGGGAGAAUUGGUUCAACUAUGAAACAGAUGCUUGUGGGCAUCGUCCUUGGAAAUUUUAUGUGCACACCUAUUUCUAUUUUGUGUAGGAAGGGGACAUGAGAUCAUAUAAUGUUGUAUUUUGGAAGAAACUAAAAAUACGUAAGAUGUGUUCUGUUUGUUUAUUGAUGCCAU